CCCGCCCCCGCCGCCCUCGGCCUGUCCUUGCAGUCCUGCGUGCGGCCUGGGCGCUGGGGCCGCCCUCGGCUCUGCGGGACGGCGCUACCCUCCCCGUGCAUGGGUGCGGCGCCGUCUGCCGGGCUGUCAGUCUGUCCCGCGCCGUCGGUCCGUGCAGGCCCGCUCCUCCCUGUGGGCCCUCGGCCCUGCGCACCCUCCUCCGCUCGGGCGCCGGCCCCCCCGGGGCCUCUCCGGCCACCGAUCCCGCCAGGGCCCCUGGCGGGACGCGCCUCCGCGCCAGGGACCUGGCUGUGUCCCCUUCCCGGGCCGGCUGAGAACCGCAUUGGCAUUUGUAGAUGGAAGGAAUGACGAAAGGCCCGAGGGCUGGUGGCCGCAAAUUCAUUAACAUGGAAGAGUGGGUUGAUGGAUAUUUCUUCAUGGACAUUUGGGUUGUUUCUAGUUUUUGCCUGCUGCGAAUAAAGCUCCUAUAAACACUCCUGGGCCUGGAUCCAGCUGCUCCCCCAGAUCCAGAUCCCAGCCCAGCUGUAGCCUCCAUCGUGGCUGAGGGAGGGUCCCUUGGGUCUGGCGCCUACUUCAGCAGGAAAGCCCGUCUCUCCUUCCGCCACCAGCUGCAUGACAUAGCAUCGGCCAACGACUCCACCAUUUGAAGGGGACAACCAAGGGCUGAACUUCCAGGAGGCCUUGGCAACCUUCCUUCCCCCGCCUUCUCAGUCAUCCCAGUGUCCAGCUCCCUCAGAUCCCUCAUGACCCUCUUAUUAAAUACACUGAGAAUUGCCAAGUGCUGUGUGUAUGUGCA